rnacentral:lncRNA from 1 species
UUGGCUAUUUGGUGGAUAAACAGCUGCGCGUUGGAAAACAAGCAUCCACGUCAUCUCUGCACAUUCUGGACCAAGAUGCAAUGAAACUUCUUACGGCCUCAUCAUUUCUUGUCCAUUUGUCAUCCAUCUUCUUAAGUUCAUUGGAGAUGUCAAUGCUGACCUGGUGCCAGCUUAUGUUGUCAUAGGCGUAUGCUGAAAGUUCUGUCAGUUCCUCGUGCAUUGACUCUAUUCUUUUCUGUAUCAGCUGCUCGCCGGCUGGUGUAGACUCCGUGUCGAUCGAUGCGAUUAAGUGUUCGUCGGUCGAUCUCAGCGACUUACCAUCGAGCGAUUUCGCUCGCUUCCUGUCGAUCGAUGCUG